GUCCCUUUGGGACUUCUAAUAAAGUUGGAACGAUACAGAGAAAAUUAGCAUGCCCCCGCAGAAGUAUGAAACCCACAAAUCGAGAAAUGUUCCCAAAUUUU